rnacentral:rRNA from 1 species
UACGUAGGGUCCGAGCGUUGUCCGGAAUUACUGGGCGUAAAGAGCUCGUAGGUGGUUUGUCGCGUUGUUCGUGAAAACUCACAGCUCAACUGUGGGCGUGCGGGCGAUACGGGCAGACUAGAGUACUGCAGGGGAGACUGGAAUUCCUGGUGUAGCGGUGGAAUGCGCAGAUAUCAGGAGGAACACCGGUGGCGAAGGCGGCUCUCUGGGCCUUACCUGACGCUGAGGAGCGAAAGCGUGGGUAGCGAACAGG